UACGGGGGGGCAAGCGUUGUUCGGAAUUACUGGGCGUAAAGGGCUCGUAGGCGGCCAACUAAGUCAGACGUGAAAUCCCUCGGCUUAACCGGGGAACUGCGUCUGAUACUGGAUGGCUUGAGUUUGGGAGAGGGAUGCGGAAUUCCAGGUGUAGCGGUGAAAUGCGUAGAUAUCCGGAGGAACCCCAGAGGCGAAGGCGGCAGCCUGGUUGGCUCCUGACGCUCGGACACGACAGCAUGGGAGCGGAACGGG
rnacentral:rRNA from 1 species